rnacentral:tmRNA from 1 species
GGGGACGAAACUGGCUUCGACGGGGGUUGAGAGGUUACAGACUGCAUACCGAGGUCCCGGUUCCUCGUUAAUCCGCUGGGAAACAAAUAUAAACGCAGAUAACCAUGCGUAUGCAUUGGCUGCCUAAUAGUGCGGCCCGUGUUGUUUGAGUUUUGUCUGUCAGGCUCUCACAACGCGACGAUCAUGACAGGAUAGCAACCGUAUUCGUCUGAGAUACGGGAGCGAAAUUUCAUCAGACUGGCUUUUCAGUAAGCUUUGUUUGCUGCGCUUCGAAAAGUGAGAAACGAGCAACAAACUAAGUAUGUAGACGUCUGUAAUACCGGACCUUCGGACGCGGGUUCGACUCCCGCCGUCUCCACAA